CUAUUUUAAUAUAUUGUGUGUGAUUUUAAAACAAAAUUUGAAUUCUAGUAAGUGUUGGCUCCGAUGUUGGUGCCAGUUAGCACUGUUAAAUGGAUUUUAAGAGUGCUAGCCUCUCAGGCUGACUCCCUGUAUGCCAGGGCACUGGUGGCUGCCAUGACAGCUGUAUGCCGGUGUCCGUAAGGUGUCGUGCCUGGCGUAAGAAGCGGAUUCUCCCUCUCGUUCCGGGCCGUGAUUAGCUCUGCCGCUUACCUCUUCGCGCUGUGUUAGCGCUGCUAUUUUAGCCUGCUGUGUGGACGGGUCGCCAUUAUUAAAGGGUGCUGCUGGUGUCUGGUCAAUCUUUUAACAUCGCAACGUAGUGCUCAAGUUCAUAUUUAUGUGUUGGGGACAUGAACAUUUUAUGUUUUAAAUAUUAAACAAUGCUCUGUAUGAGCUCUGUGAUUUU